UGGAGGAAUUGGUGGGCCUUGGAGCCAGAGUGCACACAUGUUGUAGGAAUGAGAUUGAGCUUAACAAUUGCUUGGAAGAAUGGCAUGGACUAGGUUUUGGGAUUAGUGGCUCACGGUGUGAUGUUUCAGUCGCAGCCCAAAGAGAAGAGCUUAUGGAGACUGUGUCUUCUGUGUUUGAUGGCAAGCUGAACAUCCUUGUUAAUAAUGUUGGAACAAAUAUUCGAAAGCCAAUGGUGGAGUUCACACCUAAAGAAUUUUCUACUCUCAUGGCAACCAAUUUUGAGUCUGCUUUCCAUCUAAGCCAACUUGCUUAUCCACUCUUGAAAUCUUCGGGUGAGGGAAGUGUUGUAUUC
rnacentral:misc_RNA from 1 species